rnacentral:rRNA from 1 species
AACGAACGCUGGCGGCAGGCUUAACACAUGCAAGUCGAGCGCCCCGCAAGGGGAGCGGCAGACGGGUGAGUAACGCGUGGGAAUCUACCCAUCUCUACGGAAUAACGCAUGGAAACGUGUGCUAAUACCGUAUACGUCCUUCGGGAGAAAGAUUUAUCGGAGAUGGAUGAGCCCGCGUUGGAUUAGCUAGUUGGUGGGGUAAAGGCCUACCAAGGCGACGAUCCAUAGCUGGUCUGAGAGGAUGAUCAGCCACACUGGGACUGAGACACGGCCCAGACUCCUACGGGAGGAAGCAGUGGGGAAUAGUGGACAAUGGGCGCAAGCUUGAUCCAGCCAUGCCGCGUGAGUGAUGAAGGCCCUAGGGUUGUAAAGCUCUUUCACCGGUGAAGAUAAUGACGGUAACCGGAGAAGAAGCCCCGGCUAACUUCGUGCCAGCAGCCGCCGUAACAC